rnacentral:tRNA from 1 species
GCCGUGGCCUACUGGUUAGCGCUUCGGACUUGUAACCGGAGGGUUGGCGGUUCGAACCCCGACCAGUAGGCA